rnacentral:rRNA from 1 species
UACGUAGGCAGCAAGCGUUGUUCGGAAUUACUGGGCGUAAAGAGUGUGUAGGCGGUGCUCUAAGUCUGUUGUGAAAUCUCCCGGCUUAACUGGGAGGGUGCGGCGGAGACUGGAGUGCUAGAGUGUGGGAGAGGUAAGCGGAAUUCCUGGUGUAGCGGUGAAAUGCGUAGAUAUCGAGAGGAACACCGGUGGCGAAGGCGGCCUUCUGGACAGUGACUGACGCUGAGACGCGAAAGCGUGGGGAGCAAACAGG